AAGGGGGAGGCGGGAACCCUGACAGGAGAUGGGAGGGUCCAGGGCCCAGGGUUUGCGGCCUCCGGUCUUGGUUUGGCCGCCCAGGGGCUAUUUGGGCCUCCAAAAUGGAGAGGGAGGGUCAGGCACCUCUGUGUGGCCUCUGCGAACUGCGCCCUUUGGAAGUCAGCCGCCAACCGCCUGAUCUCUUCCCAGGCGUCCGCCAUCUCGGCCCUACUCGCCGAGCUGCCGACAAACUGCAGACACGUCAGCCCAAAGGUCUCAGGAGCGGAGGCAGAACGGGCCGCGCGGAGGGACAAGAAACUCCUCCCCGACGCAGCUACGGAACGCGCGAGGCCAGAGCCGCCGGGGGCGUGGCCGGAAGAGCCGCAGCCCCGCCCACCCGCGCGGGAGGUUUGUUCUAAGCUGUGGGAGCCGGGCGAGAGCUGCUUGAGAGCCAGGUUACAAGGUGUUUGUCUGCGGAUGUGAUGCAGGAAAGCCAACUGGGACCAUGGGUGUGAUUCUUCAUCUAUCAUGCUGGCUAGAACUUUGGAGGAAAGAAAAUCUUCUCCAGUCAUCCUUCUCAGAUCUGAGAGCAAGAGGCCUGGAGGUGCUUCAGCCAUUUUGUGACCAUGAGGGAAGAGCCAACAAAG